rnacentral:rRNA from 1 species
GACAGAGGUCUCAAGCGUUGUUCGGAAUCACUGGGCGUAAAGGGUGCGUAGGUGGCGUGGUAAGUCAGAUGUGAAAGCCCGGGGCUCAACCUCGGAAUUGCAUCCGAUACUACCAUGCUAGAGUACUGAAGAGGUGACUAGAAUUCUCGGUGUGAGCAGUGAAAUGCGUAGAUAUCGAGAGGAAUACCAAAGGCGAAGGCAGGUCACUGGGCAGUUACUGACACUGAGGCACGAAGGCUAGGGGAGCAAACGGG